rnacentral:rRNA from 1 species
UACGUAGGUGGCUAGCGUUGUCCGGAUUUACUGGGCGUAAAGAGCGCGCAGGCGGUCGUUCAAGUCGAGUGUGAAAGCCCCCGGCUCAACUGGGGAGGGUCACUCGAUACUGAUCGACUUGAAGGCAGGAAGAGGGAAGCGGAAUUCCCGGUGUAGUGGUGAAAUGCGUAGAUAUCGGGAGGAACACCAGUGGCGAAGGCGGCUUUCUGGUCUGCUCUUGACGCUGAGGCGCGAAAGCUAGGGUAGCAACGGAGUAAGAACCGAU